rnacentral:rRNA from 1 species
UGGGAAUUUGGACAAUGGGCGAAAGCCUGAUCCAGCAAUGCCGCGUGUGUGAAGAAGGCCUUCGGGUUGUAAAGCACUUUUGUCCGGAAAGAAAUCCUUGGCUCUAAUACAGUCGGGGGAUGACGGUACCGGAAGAAUAAGCACCGGCUAACUACGUGCCAGCAGCCGCGGUAAUACGUAGGGUGCAAGCGUUAAUCGGAAUUACUGGGCGUAAAGCGUGCGCAGGCGGUUUGCUAAGACCGAUGUGAAAAUCCCCGGGCUCAACCUGGGAACUGCAUUGGUGACUGGCAGACUAGAGUAUGGCAGAGGGGGUGAGAAUUCCACGUGUAGCAGUGAAAUGCGUAGAGAUGUGGAGGAAUACCGAUGGCGAAGGCAGCCCCUCGG